GUUCAGGAAUUCUUCUAUGCAAAUGAGCAACAUCGCUAUAAAGUGUUCUUAUUAUGUAAUAAUUCAUAAGCACACUACAUAGCGGUGCUACUCGUUGUAAUCAAUCGACGAUCCGUGAG
rnacentral:precursor_RNA from 14 species